rnacentral:rRNA from 1 species
GACGGGGGGUCCUAGCGUUGUUCGGAAUCAUUGGGCGUAAAGCGUGUGCAGGUGGUUUGGUAAGUUGGAUGUGAAAGCCCCGGGCUUAACUCGGGAAGUGCAUUCAAAACUACCAAACUUGAGUAUGGAAGAGGUUCGUGGAAUUCCUGGUGUAGCGGUGAAAUGCGCAGAUAUCAGGAGGAACACCGGUGGCGAAGGCGGGUCUCUGGGC